AAUAAUAAAAUAAUUUAUUAAAAAAUUAAAUGUUAGAUCAUUAAAUUUAAAAGAUUUGGCGGUAUUUUAUAUUAUUAGAGGAAUCUGUAUUUUAAUUGAUAAUCCACAAUAAGAUAUACUUAUUAAAUAGAUUUAUGUAUUGCUGUUUAAAAAUUAUUAUUAAUUAAAUUUUUUAAUUUUUAUAUUUUAAUAUAAUUCAAGUCAAAAUAUAGUUUAAUUAAGAUAUAUAUGGAUUACAAUUUUUUUAAAAAUUAUAAUGGAUUAAUAAAUUUAAUUAUUUAUUUUAAAAUUGGAUUUAAUAGUAAAUUUAAUAAAUUAAUUAUUUUGAAUAAAAGAUAAAAUAAGU
rnacentral:rRNA from 1 species